rnacentral:rRNA from 1 species
AGUGAACGCUGGCGGUAGGCCUAACACAUGCAAGUCGAACGGCAGCACAGGAGAGCUUGCUCUCUGGGUGGCGAGUGGCGGACGGGUGAGGAAUACAUCGGAAUCUACUUUUUCGUGGGGGAUAACGUAGGGAAACUUACGCUAAUACCGCAUACGACCUACGGGUGAAAGCAGGGGACCUUCGGGCCUUGCGCGAUUGAAUGAGCCGAUGUCGGAUUAGCUAGUUGGCGGGGUAAAGGCCCACCAAGGCGACGAUCCGUAGCUGGUCUGAGAGGAUGAUCAGCCACACUGGGACUGAGACACGGUCCAGACUCCUACGGGAGGCAGCAGUGGGGAAUAUUGGACAAUGGGCGCAAGCUUGAUCCAGCCAUACCGCGUGGGUGAAGAAGGCCUUCGGGUUGUAAAGCCCUUUUGUUGGGAAAGAAAUCCAGCUGGCUAAUACCCGGUUGGGAUGACGGUACCCAAAGAAUAAGCACCGGCUAACUUCGUGCCAGCCGCCGCGGUAA